AGCCAACCACACCCUCACUUCUCUUUAUCGUUUGAAAGGGGUAAAAGCCCUAGCCUCCUAGAAUAUUUUUUCCUCUCUCUUCGCUGUCGUUGCUGGAAAUGGAAAAAGCGUGGGUCAAACAUAUGAAGUGCAGUCUUGCUCUUCCAUUUUGGGCAAGAGCAGUUAAUGCUCUUGCCCUCUUUCACCGUCACCACCGCAUAUCAGCCACGGAAAGAGCUGAGUUCGUGCGGUAAGGAGCAAGGAAACCUCCAAGUCUAAUCUCGACAUUUGACCACACACAACAAAGGCCAGUCUCCUCUUUCAAAGCUUGUUGGGCUAGAGGCCCAACUUCUUUUUUUUCCUUGAUCGAGUCCGAACCAAAGAUGAAACAAGAAGGCCCAACCAUGGGUGAAAAUGGUCAACUGGUGGGCUAAGGCCCACCAGCCUAACUUUCUUCUCUUGCCAUUAUUGUGUAUAUAUAUGUUUCCGUGUUUAUAAGUUGUAUAUUUAAACAACACUAAUAUUAUUAUUGGAACCCGAAUGCGAUUAGAAUUAGGAAAAACUCGUGUAGAUGGUUAAACAUUUUUCACAAAAAAAGAAGAAGAUGGUUUUCAAAAUUAAACAUGAACUAUGCAUGCAAAUCGGAAAAUCUUAUGAUUUUUACAAAAAAUUCUUUCGGAGUAUAAAGAUGACAAAAUAGGUGGUAUGAAUGGAUCCGGACUGAAAAAUUUGAUUAGGGCUGUAUGCCCCUUCUUACAAAAAAAAUAAAUGAAAGAACUGGUUUUGGGCUAUAGGCCCACUUGAAAAUUAAAAGCAUGAAAUGGACUUCCUUUGGACUUGAUAAAAUGGACUCGAAACAUUUUGGGUCUAUUCAUAAAAACUUGGGCUGACUUUGGACCAAAAUUGGAAUAAAAAAAACUAAAUUUCCAUAAAAUACAAGUGCGAGUGGAUUUCUUUAAAACUUGUUUGGACUUAAGGGAUUUUCAAACACUUUUGGGCCAAAAGCCCAAAACUUAAGGCAAAUAAAUAAAAAGAAAUAUACUUGGACUAUAGUUUGAGAAGUAAGUUGGCUUUGGUUUUAAAAUAUGGUUGGUUAAUUGAGCUUCAAUGGACUAAAACUAAAUAAGUGGACUUCUAUUCAUACUUAUACAAAAUCUAUGCCACUUUUUACAAAGGAGAUAUACUCCAUUUAUGUUACGUCUCGUAUUUUUAUACAUUGGGGCAACCCGGAGUAACUAUGAUAAUUUAAGGCCAAGACCAUUCCGGGAAUUGAAGUCGGAACUUUUGACCAUUUGAUUUUAUUUUGAGCUAUAAGUUAUAUAUGAAAUUAUUGGUAUUGAACACUUAGGAAAAAUUGGGACCAUAAUUCAUAAAAUUGGAAUUUAAAAAUGUUGUGCAAAAUGUCAUGGUGGCCGUGCAAGUUGAAAUGGUCCCACACCUUGUGUGACCAAUUUUAAUUGGUCCAACACAUUGUGUGGGCCAAAGACAAUAUGGAGAUAUUUCUUUAGGGGACUUAAAAGAUGACCACUAAGUCUUCUUUCCUCAUUUUCUAUACUUAGCAAAAGAAGAAAACAAAGCAAGUUGAAGAGCUUCAACUUGAAGCUCUCGGCCAACCAAGGAGAAAAACCAACCCCAUUUUGAGUCUUCCUAAAAAUAUUUCCUUGAUACAAACCCACUAUAUUGAAGCCCCUAAGUAGCGUGGAAGUAUUGUUUGGGUCAUCCAACCAUUAGUUGUGCCUAUUUGCAAACCCUAGCCUAUUGGUGGAGGUGAAGAACAAAGGCCUUGGGGAGCCCGAGGCGUAGAUUGGGAUUAACUUUAGAUCGGCUAGCUUGGAGGGCGUUCGAGGUACAGACGCACAGUUUGGUGAUCCUCCAGUCUAGGACACCCCCUUCUGCCGUUGGAGUGCUCUUCUCAUUUCAGAGCACAUAUUUUGGUAUAUAUUUUGUUCGCUAUGUACGUAUAUAUUUGCUCAGGGGUACGGCGGGGCCCUGUCCCGCCAUAUGUUUCUGUUGGUCUGUUUAGAGGUCUGUAGACGUAUUUGUGGGUGUGUGUGCCUACUUUUGUACAGAUGUGUUCGUGUGACCCUAUUCGUUAUGGCAGCCUUGUCGGCGUGCACUUUGUAUAUGUUUUGGGCCGUUGCGCCAUCCGUUAGCCUUGUCGGCUUUUGAUACAUCUGUUAGCCUUGUCGGCUUUUGAUACAUUUGAUAGCCUUGCCGGCUUUUUGACAUAUAUAUAUAUAU